rnacentral:lncRNA from 1 species
CAAGAAAGGCAUUCUGCCAAAGAAAGAAAGAAUUCUCUCCAAUUGGUCUGUGCUUUGUAUCAUUGUUUUUUUUUAAUUUUCAAUCGUUGUGAGAGUGUGACUUGGGUGUAUUUGGGAUUUGGGUUUCUUGAGUGAUAAACACUUUGUAUACUCUCUUUAAUUGUAGUGGAUUACUCCAUCAUCUACAAACUUGAUGUAAGCAUAGCCAAACCAGUAUAAAUCUUGGUGUCCUUGUUAGUGUUGUUUUGUUCC